rnacentral:lncRNA from 1 species
AUGUUAUAUUUGUGUGUGAGAGUGAAAAAAUGUAAACAUAUUCUUGUGGUUAACCUAAUUGUUGUUGUCUUUAUUUUCCAGAAGGAAAACUCAAACUCAGGGGCUCAAGGACAUGUCAAAGGCACAGACAUAUGUUCCUGCAUUGAUCAAAUCAGGCUGUGCAGGUGGUUCGCUGCUCUGUGCAGGACCAGCACAGCACUCGUAUCUAGUGGGUGUCUGAUAAAUACAUGCUGCUCGCCAGAAGGAACAUCAAGAGUAGAAGCCCAUUGCUCUCUGGUGACUUUUGUUUUCUUUCAGAAUGCAUAAACAGGGGGCCUGCUCUCCACGUGUAAACUGAUCUGGUGCAAUUCAGUCAGGUUAUCCUCUUGGAAAGAACACAGUGGUGGCACCAUCUCUGCAAGCAAAG